AAGAGGCAAUAUUUCCUAAUCUGCCCUUCAGUGUAAAUACGAAGGUUGAAGAGGCACUUCCAAGUAUCUACACGCAGGAUGACAAUGACUGAUUCUGGAAGAAAGUGCAGGUCCAGAGUAUGAAAUAAAAACACAACUAACACCAAGUCAGAAUCAUUAAGCUUGCAAAGGCUACCAAGAUCAUUCGGUCCAACCUUUGAACACUGCCAUGUCAGCCUUAACUUGGCAUUAAGUGCUAUGCUGUUCCCGGAGCAGUUCAUUCCGAUGCUUUUGAACCCUUUCAGUAAAGAAAUUUUUCUGAUGAAGAAUUCACCUUCAGAAUCCUUUACUGAGAACCUCAAAAGUGGCUUAUUUACCUAAGGCUCACAGCGUGCAGUGUGGUACUAUUCCAUUUUAUAGAAGGGUAAACAUGCUGACAACAUGACUAGCAAAGGCACAGGGGACAGAACUUCUCUAGCCCUUACACGUAGCCAAAGCUGCAGCAAAGUCAGCCGGUGCAUUGAGGAGACAUGUAAUCUGAAGUCAGGAAGUGGACCUCAAGCCUUUCUGGGAGAAGUACUUUUUUCAUUGCUAUCUGUUCUACUUUGACUCUUCCUUGUUCCCAUUUGUAACAGGCUGGUGCCAGCAUAGCAGCACGAUGCCUGCAAAUAGAUUCUUGUGUGCCUGCCUUUAAUAUGGCCUGGGGGAGAUGGAUCCUAGCUUUUAUUCAGAUCCCAGAUAAUCCUGUGAUGCAGAAAGUGAGUGGGCAAAACUGGGAAUGAAAGCCAAUGCAUGCUGAUGCAUGGGCCGUUUAUCAUCUAUCUUACAGUGAAGGACAAAAGUGGAGGUAGUGGAUGAAAAAUGAGGAGGGUGCUGAAGUAAACAGCUUUAGAGAGGUGUAUGAAGAAAAGAGCAGACCAAUAGUUGCAACAUUGAGCCUGGGUGACCUGGGGAAAGUGCUCUCAAGGGUCCAUACCCAGAGGAUGUAUAGUUCCCAAAACCAGGCUAGAAACUCUAAGCAGCUUGUAUGAUGGUACCUCUCCUGUUAUCUUGUUGAUUAAUAUUUUAGGAGGUGUCUUACUGUAGAUGAUGACACAGUAGAGGGACAGAAGAAAGAGAAGAAUGAAAAGGAACAGAGGAGAGGAAAGUUUCACUGACAGAGUGGAAGAUGGGCUGAUGGGGAAAUUUGCAUAAUUUAUAAAGGCUGCUGGUCAACAGCAAAAGAUUCCCAAAUAAACAUUUCCAGCUCUUCUCAAUAAACAUUUUUUUACAAUACAACAACAACAACAACAAUAACAAAAAAAGAGUAAAUUUUACUGUUUCACUUACUGUUAUUUAUUUGAACAUCAUUUUAUAGUACUGUGUGGAGGAAAUUUUGAAACAACUGCUGCUUUGUUUCCAGCUCAGUGCUAGGAUGACUUCAUUCAGUACCACAAAAUUCAAGCUUAUUUCUGCUGGUGAUCAGUGAUAACACACAUGAGUAAACCAAGAGUUGUCACUUCAGCCUGCCACUUUACCUUCAUUUUUUUGAUAAAUCCCAAGAGCUGCAGAUAAAUGACUUUGAUACCAUCUGUACUUGCAAUUAGUACCAAAGUUACAAAUAUGUUCAUGUGGAUGUAAUUGAGGGCAAAACUUAAGGCUGCUAGAUUUCAAUUCACUGUACAAACACAAUUUCUUCCAGUUAUUUGACACCUUUUAAACUUUAUGUCUUUAAUGGGGGAAGCUGAAAAUGAGAAAACUCCUUAAUGAGGAGAAUUGAAAUGGAGAUGGCUCUGCAGGCUCUAAGUAAGCCAUAAAAGGAGGCUACACUGGGUUUUUUUUCCCUACUAACUCACUGUAUCAAAUCCUAUCUCCUUAAAUCAGCUCUCUAUCUCCCAUUUCUUUGUUGGAAACAUGAUUUGUUCUUCAUUUGCCUCAUAUUUCCAUUGCUUAGGAAAAGGGCUCUGAAGGUCAGGAGACAGCUUAUGUUUAACAAAACAUAAAAUUUGGCUUACAAGCCUUUGGUUUAUUCACCAAAAUCACGUUUUUUAUUUUGUUUAAAUGUUCCACUGUUAAUUUGGGCACAGAAAGAUGCUAUAAGUGUUCUUCAAACCUAGGAGUGAAUUUAGGGGCAUGGGAUCGGGUCUUCUAUGCCCCACUCUCUAAGUAGUGUUUUUGAAAUUACUGAGAACACUGCCCUUGUUCUGUCCAGAUGGUUAUUGAAUUACGAACAUUAUUUAAUAGAAGAUACAACCAAUGGCAAUUUAGAAGCAUAUGAAGUUAACAUGCAACAUUCAGGCUGCAAUCCAAAGUAGAACAGAUGGAUCUGAAAUUGGUUAAUGCUUGAUCAAGGAAAGCUCAAGUAUUUGUACGUAUUAAUGCUAUCUAGAUUCCCCUGGUGUUCAUGAUGCACCCAUGCAUGCCUUAGCUUGCCUGGACUUUGCACUAAGGUAGCCUGCUCCAAGGAACUGCACCUUCAGCAGAGGAGUUACCACACAAUGCCUUUAACCAUUUCCCUGUUGAGUAAACCUUUUAUAGUUCUGACUCCAGCCAUCCACAUACUGAAAGUUUUAUUUGUGAGGUCUUCUUUUUGUAAACUUACGUUAUUUGUCUAUUUUUUUCAGAAGCAGGGUUUCUUUAUUUUCCCUUCUUACAGCAUGGCCACCUGCUACUGCUUCAGCUUUAACUGCAUCUUCUUGAUCUUUUAUUCUUGCUUUUUCACUUACUUGUUGUUUUCACCUGUCUCUCUAAGUAAUAAUAAGCAUACAUCUUUCCAUGCUUCAGUGUCCAGCUUCUUGCUCUGCUCUGUCUUCUCAGUUUUUGCUCUCUGUCAUGGCUCAUGAGACACAUAGUUCAAAACUUUCUUUUAGAGAAUGAAAGAUAUUGUAUUUUCUCCAGUCUUCCUCUAACUCUUCACUUUAACCUUGAGCUUUUCUCUGAUUUUUAAAAAAUAAAUCAAUGUCUACCACUAGACCAAAUAAUUGCCUCUCCAUACAACGUAAUAUAUUAUUAUUUCAUAUUUU